rnacentral:misc_RNA from 1 species
UUUUGCUUCCCGCGGGUCUUGAAACUGAAAGUAACAGCAAAGUAUCAACUAUCAUUUACCAUGCCUAGAACAAAUAAGCAGCCUGAUAAUGACAGAAUACCAAGUUCCCAGGUGUCUGCUACACAAGCAGAGAAAGCUCACUCGAGUAUGGACCGCGGAGAACAGGAAAAGAAGCUGCAUGACCUCGUCCAGUUCCUCUUGAUAAUGGACCAAAAGAAGCUACCUAUCAAAAAACUUGAUAUAAACAAACAGGUAUUGAAAGAACACAGUAAAGCUCUCCCUGUGAUGAUGAAACUAGCCGAAGAAAAGCUUAGAAAGAUCUUUGGGAUAGAGUUGGUCAGUUUAGAGGACAAACAGAAAGGUACAUACAUCCUGGUCAAUACUUUGGACACCGACGUAGACGAGCAGCUGGAGAGUGACCCCAACUUGACCUUGACCCCGGUCGAUUGGUCGGACGAAAAUCACGCCAAGACUGGACUCCUGAUGGUCGUACUCAGUGCUAUAUUUAUGAAUGGAGAAGUUAUGGUAGAUUCUCAACUUUAUCACAUGCUGAGAAAACUUAAAGUUGAUCAAGAUGUGACUCAUCCUGUCUUUGGUGACGUCAAAAAGCAGCUGACUGUUGAGUUUGUAAGACAAGGGUACCUCGAGUACACUCGUCAGCCAAACACCGACCCCCCGGUCUUUGAGUUCAGAUGGGGGUUCAGAGCUAAGAAGGAAAUCACGAAAAGGAACUGUCUGGACUUUGUCAGUCAGGUGAGAUACGUCAAUCAUUUCAUAAUCAUUUCAAUGAUUUCAUAACAAAAUCAGAAUGAUGUAACUGCAGAAUCCACAGAAGUAGUUUGGCAGGUUUUUUGACAUUUUGGAUUGUUUUGGCACCUAACUUUGAACAUCCUUAGGGUGAUGAGUCUACAGGACUAGAAAAUAUCUGCAAAUUACAUGUAUCAAUGGUCCAAUACCUGCAAGAUUGAGUUUGAAGGCUGUUCAGAAAUGGAAGCUUUUUAACUUUCAGAAAAUUUUUACAAAAAUAACUAAAAGUUCUUGAAAAGCGGAAACAUUUUAGAAGUAGCAUUAUUAUUUAGUCUAUUUUUGUUGUAGUUGUAUGAAAAAAAUCCAGAAGAGUGGGUGUCUCAAUACCAAGUUGUAGUAGAAGAGGAGGGAGAGGAGGAAGAGUCUUCAGCAUCUUGAGAGCAUUCCCAGCAUGCUUCGCUGCUCCCAUCAUGCCAUUUUACUACUAGCAUGCUCUUGAUUACUCAGCAACUUCAAGGGGCCAAUUAUUGUACAUAUGGGAAUAUCUGUGAUGGUAUUUGAACUUUGAAGUGCCAAGAAACUGUGACUAAUCGCAUGGAUGAUGUACAUUUUAGUGAUCAAGUAUACAAGUUCUUUUAGAGACAUUUUUUUUUAUCAGAAACAUCUUUGUUGAAAAGUCUGUAAAGAUAAGAAAACAUGUACAUGUUCUUCGUAGAGAUUUUUCCAUGCACGUCCAUGUAUGCUUCAGGAGCUGUAUUUAACUUUUUUCAUCUAGUCCUUUGUAAAUUAUAACUUGUAUAGUUUGUUUGAAAGAUAAAUUAAUUUAAUACAUUUUUAACUUG